CCCCUCUGGGCAGUAUAGCGCCUGGUUUCCGGGGCAGGCUGUGCAGGCAAAAACAUUAUAAUUGUUUCACUCAACCCCUCUCCAAAACAUUUUCUUCUCGAAGUGCAUUGCCAUUGAACGAAGAUAUUGCCCUGUUUCCCUCCUCCAGUGUUAACCCACAACAUGGAACCUCCUUUUCUCUUCCAGCCUGCCAUGUGUAUCCGACUGUCCCAUCUGCACAGGAGGAUCCAAUCCACCCCUGAUAGGGGGUCCUUCCGCACUCUGAUCAGGAGCAGUCUCUGGCAUGAUGAUCUUGUUGGGUGCCUCUCCAUGCCUGCUCAACAUCUGACCCUGAUCAGGAGGAGAAAUAAGAGGUUUAGGGAGGAUAUGUUCUGGAAGAUCCUCCAAUUCUUUACAGCUCCAGCCUAUAAGUGCAGGGUUUGGAGAGCCCAUCUGAACAUGACCAUGGAGAAGGACCAAAAAUGGAGAGAAUGGUUGCUGCAGGAGAGGCAAAAGGACUGAGAUGCAUCGGGAAAUAAAUCAGAACCUAAUGGCUUUGCUCAGGGAAUAAACUCAAAUGUUCCAGAGUGUCAUUGACCUACAUGCCCAAAGACCCUCAUGGUUGCACUCCCUACAUCCCCCAACAUUCCUCAUGGCACCAUGAUGUACCUCCUUAGCCCUACCUCUCCAUGCUGAACAACAAAGAGAAAAAUACCUACACAUGUACUGAUCUAAAAAAAACACAGGUUGGUGUAUAUGUAAUGCACACAGCUCCAGAAAUGUGGCUAUGAAACCUGAGGCAUUAAAAUGUCAUUAUUGGAAAUAUCCUACACAACUUCAUGUAGACAGGUGGAUCAAUGUUCUUGAGUCUUAACAUAUUGAGAUCUCAUUACCAUAAGCAGGACAA